GCCUGGGUGGCUCAGUCGGUUGAGCGUCUGACUUCGGCUCAGGUCAUGAUCUCGCAGUCUGUGAGUUCGAGCCCCGCAUCGGGCU
rnacentral:tRNA from 1 species